GGUGCCAUAGCUCAGUUGGUAGAGCAAAGGACUGAAAAUCCUUGUGUCCCCGGUUCGAUUCCUGGUGGCACC
rnacentral:tRNA from 4 species